rnacentral:misc_RNA from 1 species
GAUGAAGAACGUAGCGAAAUGCGAUAAGUAGUGUGAAUUGCAGAAUUCAGUGAAUCAUCGAAUCUUUGAACGCACAUUGCGCCCUUUGGUAUUCCAAAGGGCAUGCCUGUUCGAGCGUCAUUUGUACCCUCAAGCUUUGCUUGGUGUUGGGCGUCUUGUCUCUAGCUUUGCUGGAGACUCGCCUUAAAGUAAUUGGCAGCCGGCCUACUGGUUUCGGAGCGCAGCACAAGUCGCACUCUCUAUCAGCAAAGGUCUAGCAUCCAUUAAGCCUUUUUUUCAACUUUUGACCUCGGAUCAGGUAGGGAUACCCGCUGAACUUAAGCAUAUCAAUAAGCGGAGGA